GUGACCCCAGGAUGGGCGAGGACACCCGCUGAGUUUAAG
rnacentral:rRNA from 4 species